rnacentral:rRNA from 1 species
GACGUAGGGCGCGAGCGUUGUCCGGAUUUAUUGGGCGUAAAGAGCUCGUAGGCGGCUUGUCGCGUCGACUGUGAAAACCCGAGGCUCAACUUCGGGCUUGCAGUCGAUACGGGCAGGCUAGAGUUCGGUAGGGGAGACUGGAAUUCCUGGUGUAGCGGUGAAAUGCGCAGAUAUCAGGAGGAACACCGAUGGCGAAGGCAGGUCUCUGGGCCGAUACUGACGCUGAGGAGCGAAAGCGUGGGGAGCGAAUGGG